rnacentral:rRNA from 1 species
CGGGUUUGACAUUGAGCGACGUUAGAUGAAAGUCUAAUUCCCUUUUAGGGCGCGAAAACAGGUGCUGCAUGGCUGUCGUCAGCUCGUGCUGUGAAGUGUUCGGUUAAGUCCGGCAACGAGCGCAACCCAUACCCUUACUUGCUAACAGGUAAUGCUGAGAACUUUAAGGGGACUGCCCGUGUUAAGCGGGAGGAAGGUGUGGAUGACGUCAAGUCAGUAUGGCCCUUACACCCGGGGCUGCACACGUGCUACAAUGGCCGGUACAGAGGGCUGCAACAUAGCGAUAUGAAGCGAAUCCCAAAAACCGGUCUCAGUACGGAUUGGAGUCUGCAACUCGACUCCAUGAAGAUGGAAUCGCUAGUAAAUGCGCAUCAGCUACGGUGCAUUGAAUACGUUACCGGGCCU